CAAAAGCCACUUGUAGGAUACACGACGAUGUACAAUAAAGCCAGACCAGACCCUACACUGAUCCAUUGUCACUCAGAGUGAUCUUUUAAUCGAAUGUUUCCAAAAACCUAUAUUAUAAAAAAAAAUGAAAUCUAUAGUUUCAAGGGAAAGGAAAAAAUGUAUAUCCAAAAUUCUAAAAUCCACCCUAGUCACAUCGUAUUUUUCCCGGCACU
rnacentral:lncRNA from 1 species